rnacentral:piRNA from 1 species
UGAGAAAAGCUCCAGCCAUGAGGGCUACC